rnacentral:lncRNA from 1 species
GUUUUGAUAUUGUUGUUGUUUGUUUGUUUUUUGAUACAGUGAUCAAGAAAAUACACAUACAUGAGUGAUCCAUGUUUUCAUAAAGAAAGAAACCUAAGCGAAAAAAGAAAAAUCACAGAUCUUUUAAAAUCUUGAGUUUCGAAGAUGAUUAGAAGAGUGAGGACAAGCCACAGUACUACAAAUAUGGCAAACAAAUGUCUUCCCUGCCCAGCUGAGUCAGUCAAGUGACAAGAACCACUGUAGAAGAAAUGAAAGACUUUGAUCACCAUGUAAGUGAAGUGAUUUAAACUUCCUUAUUUUCGCACCAACUUCUAGCUGUCACUCUCAUUCCCUGCUCUUUCUCAGUAGGCUUUAC